GAUGAACGCUGGCGGCGUGCCUAAUACAUGCAAGUCGAGCGAACAGACGAGGAGCUUGCUCCUCUGACGUUAGCGGCGGACGGGUGAGUAACACGUGGAUAACCUACCUAUAAGACUGGGAUAACUUCGGGAAACCGGAGCUAAUACCGGAUAAUAUAUUGAACCGCAUGGUUCAGUAGUGAAAGACGGUUUUGCUGUCACUUAUAGAUGGAUCCGCGCCGCAUUAGCUAGUUGGUAAGGUAACGGCUUACCAAGGCAACGAUGCGUAGCCGACCUGAGAGGGUGAUCGGCCACACUGGAACUGAGACACGGUCCAGACUCCUACGGGAGGCAGCAGUAGGGAAUCUUCCGCAAUGGGCGAAAGCCUGACGGAGCAACGCCGCGUGAGUGAUGAAGGUCUUCGGAUCGUAAAACUCUGUUAUUAGGGAAGAACAAAUGUGUAAGUAACUAUGCACGUCUUGACGGUACCUAAUCAGAAAGCCACGGCUAACUACGUA
rnacentral:rRNA from 1 species